GGUUUCUCCGGUUUAUUUAAGUAGUUAAGAAAUGUAGAAUCGCGAAGAGUUUUUAAAAAAUUAAAGACGUGUAGGAAUGAAAAUCUUGCAAUAAGGUAGAGAAAUCAGUUUUUGCGGUGAAGUAAUAAUUGUAGAGAAAAGAAAGAAAUACUUUUACGAAGUGGUAUUGCAAAACGUGAACGUACGAAAUCAGCCAGAGGUAAAUGGGCUUGCAGGAAUAUAGUUCACAUUUUGAGUACUUCUUUGAGAUCAUUUUUCUGUGAUGUAUCAUGCUUCCCAACCUACCACAUUUGUUUUUGUUUUAAUUGGAGUAGUGGAGUAGCAGUCGUGAAGUGAGAAAGCAGAAAGGGAAACAGAUUUUGCGGUACCAGGCUCAGGAAAAAAGAAACCGUAGAAGUCACUUGUCGCUCAAGUUCUCCAUUAUCUAACCUUUAACCACCAAUUGCGUAAAGCACUAGAUUUUGAAACACAAACGCGAUGCAAUUUUUCUUUACGGUGAAUGAGUUAGACCGUAUCACGAAGUCAAGCAUCUAGCCCGAUGUUCAAGAUUUUCAUUAGGGCCUCAAGAAUAACUCACCGGCUUGGAUAUAUUGUCUUCCGUCAAGAAAGUUGUCUAGCCUUUAGCUAGAUCUUAAUACAAACCUUAGUCUUACACUCUACUGAUUAUAAAAGAAUUUCUAGUUCUGGAAGACCUUCUGGGAGACUUUCGCAACCCGUCCGUUAUGGAUUGCAAACUGGGAGUGCGCACUUAUCUCGAAGACGAGUUGGCAAAAGCCAAACUCAAACGGAGUAACUUUUUGUCAUGGAAAUUUUUCCUCCGGAUUUCAGGUGCAGACUGGAAAAAAAAGAAACUUCGCGACAGAUGGAGAAAAUGAAAAACGAUCACGAGGAAGCGAUCUUAACAGCCGUUCGCGAUGCUCUAAAGCCGGUCGAUAGCGAAUUAAGAGUCCCUCCAUAAAGAUCGUGAAGCCUAUCUUCUCCUUCAAAAGGAGUAUGCGGAUCACCAAACCUCACAAAACCAAUCACCAAACAACUGCAUCCUUUGGUUCAAGCCGAGUCCUCUGUUAUCGUCAAUGUCCUUUACCGACCGGAAUACCUUUUCCAGCCUGGCACGGAAGCACGGAAGAAGUGUGAUAAUGGCGGAUUCAUUCGCAGGUUGAUUAAACACACUGAACGAUUGCUGGAGGACAAGGAGGAAAAACUUUGCAUCCAAGUUCUCAACACUUUACGUCACAUGAUGAAUUUCGAUGGUGGGAAUGGCGAAAAGGGAGACGCAUUGAGAAAGAAUCUUUGAGUUCGCUACUUUGCCAAACUAGCCUCUCAUAGUUCUAAAAAGGCCGAGUUCAAUGGCGGAAGCGGAAUCUACCGCUGGAAUUCAUUCAACAUUAUCUGGUGGUACUGGUGGUGGAGGAGGCGGUGUCGGACAAUCUUCAUCGCUGACAACCCACGGACCUCGAGAGCGUCUCCUGUCGCGAGGUGAAAUGUGUUUCCACGAGGUGCAAGUGUACCUGUACUGAGCAGGCGCCUCUGAUUUGAUGGCCAUAUUGGUCAUGAAGUCGUCGUUAUCGCCAUCGUUUUCAUGGAAGCGGUCCAGUUGGGGAUCGCCCUGUUGGAAGGCGACCACCCCGUAAGCAAGCGGAGUCUCUACACGAAAUUUACUGAAAAAUAACGAUUUAAAAAAAGGAAAUUCGAUCGUUUUUCAGCUGUCAAAAGCCCCAGCUUUAGUUACUUUUAUUUUUCGUAGUUCUAAAGUCAUUUAUUGUAAUUAUUUUGAGAUUAUUUGGGGUGAUAUUUUACCGUAAGUGAUCUAGCUUCAAAGCUCACUUGUUAGAUUUUUUAUAUUUUGCGUUUAUAUCUACUUCCGGUUUCUAAAUCAGUUAAUAGUUCAGUAAGUUUGUAUGUGACACCCAAAUAAACCCAUUAUUCGUGA
rnacentral:lncRNA from 1 species